rnacentral:tRNA from 1 species
GUGGUUGUGGCUCAGCGGUAGAGCACUUGCCUGGCAUGUGUGAGGCACUGGGCUCGAUCCUCAGCACCACA